GAGGAACAGCCUGGCAAGGAAUUAAACUGUAGGAUUUUCACGUGCCCUGUGUGCUGCAAACACAAAUUGCUCCUCCAGAACAGACAACAAGUUAUGCUUUACUCCUCCAAUAUAUCUAUGCACUAAAUUUAUCAAAUAUUUUCUACAUUUUAUAGGGAAAGGAGUCACAACACAGCUCUGGGAAAGGAAGGUGUGGAUCUGUCUGAUCCUAGCAGGUGUGGGAGUGAAAGGAGAAGAUAAAAAAUGCAAAAUUCAAGGCUACAAGAAAGAAGACAACACCUGCCUUGACAGAUAUGUGAGGACAGGAUGUGGACGAGUUCUCCCAGAACAUGUAAAAAGUGCAUUUACAGAAUGUAUUUAAUAAAGAGAAAAUCCUGAUUGUGCAGCAAUCCUGAAAAUUCUGUAAAUUCACACUGGAUCUGUUGCACAGCACCAGAGAUGGAAAAUCCUGGUGGAAAAGCAUCCAGAAUCGUGGUGACCCCAACCAAAAAAAGGCAGACACAGCACUCCAUCUGGGCUAAUGGGAUCAGAUUGUUCUCCUUGGAUUAAUGCUGGAGUUGCUGCCUCAAAAAAUAACCAGGCACUCAUUGAGCACAGGGAAUCUGUGAGGGAGGCAGGG